UACGUAGGGGGGCAAGCGUUGUCCGGAAUCAUUGGGCGUAAAGAGCGUGUAGGCGGCCAGAUAAGUCCGCUGUGAAAUCUCGAGGCUCAACUUCGAGCUGUCGGUGGAAACUGUCUGGCUAGAGUCCGGAAGAGGAGAAUGGAAUUCCUGGUGUAGCGGUGAAAUGCGCAGAUAUCAGGAAGAACACCCGUGGCGAAGGCGGCUCUCUGGGACGGUACUGACGCUGAGACGCGAAAGCGUGGGGAGCGAACAGG
rnacentral:rRNA from 1 species